UGUAUGGAAGCUCAAAAAUCUGUAUAAUACAGAUAAAUCUGUAUAUAUGGCAUGGCAUCCCUGCUCCUGCCAAAUGCAUUAGGUGAGAUUAGGGUUGCCACAUAUGUGAUCACAGUAGUCCAAACAUCAAUGAAAACCCCAAUAAUAUCAUCAUUAUCUUUUGGUUGGUAAGGGUAAUGUUGCCGCAACUACUGUGUAGUGCGACAGUUGGUCAAAUGUGUGAAACAUCCGACUCAUCAUUGCGCACCGAUACAUUUAAGUAAUUUCGAUUGUGGCGGACAUUUGGAGGCUUAUCGUAUGUAUGUGAUAUACAAUUCCAUUCGUAAUCAUUGCCAUACUUCAGUAUAAAGUAUAAAGUCAAUUGCGAUCACGUAGUAAGUGACAAGCAAUAAUAGUUCAGUUAUAUUUUUUUAUUUUGUUUCAGUGGUUUAUUUGAUUAGUUUGCCACUGAGCAGUGCACAGUUUGUACACAGUUAUUCGUUUGUUUUAGAGGAAUUUCAUACCGUAGAAGAAAACAGAAAUCUUUGAAGCUGUCCAGUUCGACUACUCCAAAACUGUUUCAAUCCUACAAGUUACGCCAACAGCUAAUGAAACAAGCUUUCCAACAAAGAGGUGGUUUUAUGAAAUAGUUGAAAAAUUGUAACAAAUGCGAUAAAAGAAGAAAACGAAGUUGAAAAAGGUCCCAUUAUCAGCAAACAACGCCUGGCUGAGCAUUACGGCCGAGGACGUGGCAUUAGGCCAGUUAGCGUGCUCUCGUCGGUAUCUCCAAAGGAGCGACGCUCGAAAUUACCUCCAUGAUUACAGUCGCAGGUCCGUUUUGCCUCGGAUUGCUUUAAAUCCGGUAAAUUUAGCAUUACAUUUCGCCGGUGGCGGUACCGGUACACACCGGAACAACGGUAUCCCUGUCAUACAUUAAUUCGGUACCACCAGUCAGUGCGCCAUGUUAGUCCAGCGAACGAACGGGGAUUAGCACAAGUGGGAGGAAACAAGUUUUCCACGAAAUGUCUCCCUCAGUACCAGCAGCAGUACCUAGUGUUCCGGCCAGGACGACGACGUGUUCAUACCUAACCUGGACGGUCGACGACCAACUACAACCGUGGUGGUAUCACGACGACGAUGGCUGCUUGCAAAAGUCAGGAUGCUCGUUGACGUGGAUAAUUACGAAAUUGUCUCCGGUAUGGUAAGAUUCUAUCCUGGAGUCCGCUCCAGCCCGGUCGGGAGUCAGCUUGUCGGAUUUAGUGGGGUUGUAUGAACGUGUGUAUUGCGGUAUUCCGAAAGCGAAACUUACAGUUAUUUGAAAAACCAGAUUAAUCCACCUAGUGGUGAUAGUGCCUUUCUCGUCGAAUAUGUACUCAUGGUCUUUCCAUCGACGUUAGCCAAAAUGUUCCUGAAUCCUGAGAACACUUUAUAUAGAAAAGCAACAAUUUUAACAAACCCAUCAUCGAUUUGGGAAACUUAUUGAUGGUACAUAUUCCGAAGUUUUGUUCAACAACGAAACAUAGCUAAACAAUAUCAGACCUCUCAGAUGACUGUUUGACCACCUUAAUCCUAGUCAUACAUUGAGGUCAUAAGGACCCCAUUCCAUGCACUACGGCAGCGGGGUGAGCGUCAGCUUAUGCAUGAAGAAGGUUAACCUUAUUCAUAUGAUUGCAUGAUUUUGGUUUACUUCUACUUGAUAACUUCAUCACUUCUAUUUAAUCGUUCAUCAGAUGAUCAAAAACGCUGCAGUCGUUUACCACUUCCGGCGGGUUGCUCUUCUAUAUAUUACCACUCCCGGCGAGUUACACGUCUCGUCACCAGUUCUGGAACACUACCGGUUCUCCAAAAUAUGAACUGAGUUUAUUUGCUGGCUAACCGUUUAUCAUGUUACUGAAUAAGUCAUUGAUAUGUUACAUGUAUUGGUUCUCUUUUAUGUUUGACCAUUUCUGGCGGUAACACACUGAUAUGGCUUGCGUCUAUUUUCUUGCAACUGUUCAUCAUGUUACCUAAAAAGUCGGGGUUUGAGGUAUCACAUGCAAAAGUUUUGUUCACUUUUAUAUACGACCACUUCCGGUGGUGGGACACCUGGAACCGAUUCCGGAACUAUACCAGUUCAGAUAUGGUCGGAGUAUUUUUUAUGCAAA